AGAGUACGUGAAACCGUUCAGGGGUAAACCUGAGAAACCCGAAAGGUCGAAAGGGGAAAUUCAUUCGCGUUUCGGCUGCCGGCGUUGGAUGGUCGAGUGACGGACGGCGUACGCGUCGACCGCGCCUUCCUUUCUUCGAACCGGCGUCGAACGCGUGCACUUUUCCCCUAGUAGGACGUCGCGAUCCGUUGGGUGUCGGUCUAAGGCCUGCGGUGGAGCCCGCGCGGACGCUUCGGCGUCUGCUCGGACCCGCGGUGUCCCGGCCGACUCGCUCGACGGUAUAUAGAUGGCGCGGGGCCGCUACUCAGUUAGCGUUCGGCCUGCGGCAAGCGCGUUCGGCGUUUGACGGCGAUCGGACCUGGUGCCGGUCCUGUCCCCGAACGACUGUUGGCCGUGGUGUUCUCGAACAGACCUCGAAUUUGAAACGCCGAUCUGCGACGCUAUAGCUUUGGGUACUUUCAGGACCCGUCUUGAAACACGGACCAAGGAGUCUAGCAUGUGCGCGAGUCAUUGGGACAUAACUAAACCUAAAGGCGCAAUGAAAGUGAAAGUCCGCCUUGCGCGGACCGAGGGAGGAUGGGCGGUUCGCCUCAAAAGCGGCCGCUCCGCACUCCCGGGGCGUCUCGUUCUCAUCGCGAGAAGA
rnacentral:rRNA from 1 species